ACUCCUACGGGAGGCAGCAGUGGGAAUAUUGCACAAUGGGCGCAAGCCUGAUGCAGCCAUGCCGCGUGUGUGAAGAAGGCCUCGGUUGUAAAUGCACUUUCAGUCGUGAGGAAGGUAGUGUAGUUAAUAGCUGCAUUAUUUGACGUUAGCGACAGAAGAAGCACCGGCUAACUCCGUGCCAGCAGCCGCGGUAAUACGGAGGGUGCGAGCGUUAAUCGGAAUUACUGGGCGUAAAGCGCAUGCAGGUGGUUUGUUAAGUCAGAUGUGAAAGCCCGGGCUC
rnacentral:rRNA from 1 species